rnacentral:rRNA from 1 species
CCUACGGGAGGCAGCAGUAAGGAAUAUUGGUCAAUGGACGCAAGUCUGAACCAGCCAUGCCGCGUGCAGGAAGACGGCCUUAUGGGUUGUAAACUGCUUUUGUCAGGGAAUAAACCCUCGUUCGUGAACGAGGCUGAAGGUACCUGAAGAAUAAGCAUCGGCUAACUCCGUGCCAGCAGCCGCGGUAAUA